rnacentral:rRNA from 1 species
UACAGGGGGUGCAAACGUUGCUCGGAAUCAUUGGGCGUAAAGCGCACGUAGGCGGUCUGUUAUGUCGGAUGUGAAAGCCCUUGGCUCAACUGAGGAAGUGCAUCCGAAACUGGCAGGCUAGAGUACUAAAGAGGAUCGCGGAAUUCCCGGUGUAGAGGUGAAAUUCGUAGAUAUCGGGAGGAACUCCGGUGGCGAAGGCGGCUCGCUGGAUCUUUUCUGACGCUGAGGCGCGAAAGCUAGGGGAGCAAACGGG